rnacentral:rRNA from 1 species
AUUCUCAGUUCGGAUUGUAGGCUGAAACUCGCCUACAUGAAGCUGGAGUUACUAGUAAUCGCAGAUCAGAAUGCCGCGGUGAAUACGUUCCCGGGCCUUGUACACACCGCCCGUCACACCAUGGGAGCCGGUAAUACCCGAAGUCAGUAGUCCAACCACGUGAGGACGCUGCCGAAGGUAGGAUUGGCGACUGGGGUGAAGUCGUAACAAGGUAAC